rnacentral:rRNA from 1 species
AGCCAGCAGCCGCGGUGACACGUAGGCACCAAGCGUUGUCCGGAUUUAUUGGGCGUAAAGAGCUCGUAGGCGGUUCAGUAAGUCGGUUGUGAAAACUUUGGGCUUAACCCAAAGCGUGCGUCCGAUACUGCUGUGACUUGAGUUCGGUAGGGGAGUGGGGAAUUCCUAGUGUAGCGGUGAAAUGCGCAGAUAUUAGGAGGAACACCGGUGGCGAAGGCGCCACUCUGGGCCGAAACUGACGCUGAGGAGCGAAAGCAUGGGUAGCAAACAGGAUUAGAUACCCUGGUAGUCCAUGCCGUAAACGUUGGGCACUAGGUGUGGGUUCCAACCAACGGAAUCCGCGCCGUCGCUAACGCAUUAAGUGCCCCGCCUGGGGAGUACGGCCGCAAGGUUAAAACUCAAAGGAAUUGACGGGGGCCCGCACA